rnacentral:rRNA from 1 species
UACAGAGGGUGCGAGCGUUAAUCGGAAUUACUGGGCGUAAAGCGCACGUAGGUGGCGACGUAAGUCGGGUGUGAAAGCCCCGGGCUCAACCUGGGAAUUGCAUUCGAGACUGCAUUGCUGGAGUACGGAAGAGGAGGGCGGAAUUCCCGGUGUAGCGGUGAAAUGCGUAGAUAUCGGGAGGAACAUCAGUGGCGAAGGCGGCCCUCUGGUCCAGUACUGACGCUGAGGCACGAAAGCGUGGGGAGCAAACAGG